AGGGCGUACGGCGAAUGCCUUGCCACUCGAAACUGAAGAAGGACGCGCCAAACUGCGAAAAGCUCCGUGAAGCUGUAAGGAAGCGAAGAAGCGGAGGUGUCCGAAUGGGGGAACCCGGCAGCAGACAUGAGCUGUCAUCUGCAGGUGAAUACAUGGCCUGCAAGAGAGGUACCCGGCGAACUGAAACAUCUAAGUAGCCGGAGGAAAAGAAAACAACAGUGAUUCCCUGAGUAGCGGCGAGCGAAAGGGGAGAAGCCCAAACCGGUCCGAGGACCGGGGUUGAAGGACCAUGAUAUGGCAAGAGCGAGGAUAGGAGAACGGGAUCGAAAGCCCGGCCGAAGAAGGUGAAAGCCCUGUAACCGAAAUCCGAGCGAAGCCUAAUGGGAUCCUGAGUACGGCGAGACACGAGAAAUCUUGUCGGAAGCAGGCGGGACCAUCCGCCAAGGCUAAAUAUAAACGAGUGAGCGAUAGUGAACCAGUACCGUGAGGGAAAGGUGAAAAGAACCGCGGGAGCGGAGUGAAAGAGAACCUGAAACCGUAUGCCUACAAGAAGUCAGAGCCCGUUAAGGGGUGAUGGCGUGCCUUUUGUAGAAUGAACCGGCGAGUUGCGACAGACUGCGAGGUUAAGGAGGAAAGACCGGAGCCGAAGCGAAAGCGAGUCUUAAUAGGGCGAAAGUAGGAUGUUGCAGACCCGAAACCGGGUGAUCUAGCCAUGAGCAGGUUGAAGUUGAGGUGAAACUCAAUGGAGGACCGAACCGACUACCGUUGAAAAGUUAGCGGAUGACUUGUGGCUAGGGGAGAAAUUCCAAUCGAACCCGGAGAUAGCUGGUUCUCCCCGAAAUAGCUUUAGGGCUAGCGUCGCAGCGAGAGAGCCGUGAAGGUAGAGCACUGAAUAUGCGAUGGCCGCAUCCCGCGGUACUGAGCAUAAUCAAACUCCGAAUGUCACGGUGUCAUCUGCGGCAGUCAGACGGCGAGUGAUAAGGUCCGUCGUCAAGAGGGAAACAGCCCAGACCAUCAGCUAAGGUCCCAAAGUGCAUGCUAAGUGGAAAAGGAAGUGGAGACGUGCAGACAACUAGGAGGUUGGCUCAGAAGCAGCCAUCCUUCAAAGAGUGCGUAACAGCUCACUAGUCGAAUGACUCUGCGCCGAUAAUUUACCGGGGCUAAGCAUGACACCGAAGCUAUGGACAGGAAUGUGGUAGGGGAGCAUUGCAUGCAGCGGAGAAGCAUGACCGGGAGGGCAUGUGGAGCGCAUGGAAGAGAGAAUGCCGGCGUGAGUAGCGGCACGUGGGUGAGAAUCCCACGCACCGAUGGCCCAAGGUCUCCAGAGGAAGGCUCGUCCUCUCUGGGAUAGUCGGGACCUAAGGCGAGGCCGAAAGGCGUAGUCGAUGGAGGACAGGUUAAUAUUCCUGUACCACCUUGCUUGAGUGAUGGAGGGACGCAGUAAGUCAGGCGAGCCAACUGCUGAAUAUGUUGGUCGAAUCCCGUAGGGCGUGUCAUAGGCAAAUCCGUGACACAUCAGCCUGAGAGGCGUAAGGUAUCCGGGCGCAAGUCUGGAGAAUUCGCUGUGACUACACUGACGAGAAAAGCUUCUAAACGUUGACGGCAGGGUGUCCGUACCGUAAACCGACACAGGUAGGUGAGGCGAGUAGCCUAAGGUGCGCGAGAGAAACCAACGUUAAGGAACUCGGCAAAUCAGCCCCGUAACUUCGGAAUAAGGGGUGCCGUUUCAGGUGAAGGGAUUUACUCCCCGAGCCCGGGACGGUUGCAAUAAAGAGGCCGGUGCGACUGUUUAACAAGAACAUAGCUCUAUGCCAACUCGUAAGAGGAUGUAUAUGGAGUGACACGUGACCAAUGCCAAAAGGUCAAUGGGAGAGGUUAGCGCAAGCGAAGCUUCGAUCUGAAGCCCUGGUGAAUGUCGGCCGUAACUAUAACGGUCCUAAGGUAGCGAAAUUCCUUGUCGGGUAAGUUCCGACCUGCACGAAUCGUGUAACGAUGCCGGCACUGUCUCAACGUGGAUCUCGGCGAAGUUGUAAUUCCGGUGAAAAUGCCGGAUACCUGCGGAAGGACGGAAAGACCCCAUGAACCUUUACUGUAAUCUGAUAUUGGUAUUUGAUUGCUCUUGUGUAGCAUAGGUGGGAGGCUGUGAAGCCGCUACGCCAGUACCGGUGGAGCCACAGGUGAAAUACCACCCUGGUGUAAUUAGAUAUCUAACGGAUGCCCGUGAAUCCGGACUCCGGACCGUGUCAGAGGGUCAGUUUGACUGGGGCGGUUUCCUCCUAAAUUGUAACGGAGGAGCCCGAAGGUACACUCAGCACGGUUGGCAAUCGUGUGUAGAGCGUAAGGGUAGAAGUGUGCUUUACUGUAAGACCGACAGGUCGAGCAGUUGCGAAAGCAGGGCCUAGUGAUCCAGCGAUGGAAUGUGGAAUCGUCGUUGCUCAACGGAUAAAAGGUACUCUGGGGAUAACAGGCUGAUAGCGCCCAAGCGUCCAUAGCGACGGCGCUGUUUGGCACCUCGAUGUCGACUCAUCACAUCCUGGGGCUGUAGAAGGUCC
rnacentral:rRNA from 1 species